GAAGAGAAGUCCGAAAUAACAUCCACAGUAGAAGAGUUAAAUUGCCUCUCAAGUCUGUGUGGUCUUCCUACGACAAGUGCGGAAGAAGUCAUGUCUGGAUAUUUUGUUUGGUCGUUUAACCAGUGUGACAUAGAUAGUACGACUUCACCUGAUAUACCUGUGCGUUUCAAGGCACAAAUUGUCGAUAAGUACAUGUUAGUUAAAAGAUUGGAAGAGGAAAAAGCACUUCUGAACAUGGAGAUGAAAAAUUAUAUGAUUUAUUAUUUGGAAAACGUUUUGCCUCUCCUUUGUGAAA